UAUAUAGCCGACCGCCGAAUUGAUAAGAGCUCCGCUCGCGUCCAGUGAUAAAUAUAUAUAUAUAUAUCUCGGUAUGCGACGAAAAGUUCGCAGAUAAGUGUCAAGACUAUUUUGAAGGCUAAGUCACAUACAAGUUUUGUGUGCGUUACGGGCGAGUAACCGAAAUGGAACUGGCCCUUUGUGGCGCAGUGGGUCGGAGCAUUGCUGGCCAUGCAACAAGAGGGUGGAAAGCAAAUCCCCAUUGAGCCGCCCAAAGAUGGACAGUUAUGACCCCGUCCCAUCCAAUAUUCGUCGGCACUUCGCAUUGUCCAACGGACGUUAUGCAAAUGCAAAUGCCACUUGGCAGCUGCCAGUCACAUGUCCGCAGCUUGGCUGGUGGCAAGAGUUUGUGGCCGAAAGAAAAAGCCUCCGAAAUCGAUUGGCCCUGCCAUUGGGCAAGCAAAGCUUACGGCAAUUAAUUGGUAUUAAUCAACUUAAUUAUGAAAUAUUCGAUAAGAUUGCGCCUCCACUCCUCAGGCAGCGAUACUCGUGUGGAAAAACGAAAUUAUCAUGCUUUGAGGUGUAACAGCCAGUCGAUUCUGGGAUGCUCUAUACUCUUUACUUAAAUAUGCUCAAAAUAGUUAUUUUACACUUUGAUUGAUACCAUUAGGUACAAUAUUGUACGUAAUAAAAGUGUUCUUACAACGAA